rnacentral:lncRNA from 1 species
UAGGAAGACCCCAAUUCGAAGGAUCUUUCCCCUCCCAGGGUGGGCGUUUGACCACCUUGCCCCCUGAAUACAGCACAGGCUGAGCAGGGCAAUUCCUGCUGUGUCACCUCUCCUCUGUGCCUCAGUCUCACCCUUCUAACUUACCCCAAGGGAUGCAGUUGGAGCACGUGCCAAGCUGUCUGGGACUUAAGAGAUCAGUUCUAGGAGGACGUUGGAGGCACACACCUAAUGGUCCUGAGCUUGUCACCAUCACCUAAUUGGCCACCAUCCAUUGAAGCCUCAGUUUCCUCAUCUGAAAAGUCUGUAGUUUCAAGCUCAAAUGAAGACAUCCUGGCCCUCUUGCUGUUUCUCACACACAACAUUCCAUAUUCUUCCCUCUGUGACUUGGCAUGGCGCUAAGUCCACGUCUGGAAUGUGCCUUCUUCCCACCUCCAACUCUCCAAACGAGAAUCGACUUUCCUCCAGAACGUUAGAGGAAAUGGAGAUGCCCAGUUAUACCCAGGCACAGCCCACAGUUCUCCAUUGCCACAAGGACACAGAUGUGCAUGGCUCUUUGGCUUUUUUUAUGGUUUUUACACAAUAGAGGAACAGGAACACAUCAGCCAAGCUGUGAUUAGAUCCUAGUGUGUACUGCCUCUCCCAAGAGCGGGGAGUUUGAUAGAAAACAUUCCAAGGACACAAAACUCAAAGGUUAUACUGAGAGUCACCACAUGAAGUCACAUUGCUCAUCUCUGUUGUUGCUCAGUCAUGUCUGACUCUUUGCAACCCCAUUUGAGUUUUUUUUUUGGCAAAAAUAUUGGGGAAACUGAGGCUGAGAGAAUUCCAGUGACUUUCUCAGGAUCACAGAGCUAGGUAGCAUUCAAACCCAGAUGUUCUUAAUUCCAAGUGCAGCACUCUGUCAACUGUGCCACCUAACUAGGAAGAUGUGAGAUGAGGACGAGAAGGCAGGAUUUGUUCCUCCCUCAAACAACAAGGGCUUUGAGUGAGAAAAAGAAUGGGGCAGGAGACCCCUGAUACAUGGACACUGAUCAGCAAGUAUAAGUGCCAUUUGCUGUUUCCUUCUACUCCAAGCCUCUGCAGGAGACCAGCAGACAGGAGCUGGUCUUCUUGGGAGCCGAUCUCUGGUACAACGGGGGAAACUUCUGGGACUAAAACGGUGAUUGAGCAAUUGAGGAUUGUCAUUCCUAUUCAGGACACUUCAUGGGCGCCAGGAGAUCCCUUAUUCGGUCUAAGCCCAAGUCACUUUGGGACUUCCCUUAAGGGAAGCCAAGAGAAGUGACUUGGCCAAAGUCAUGCAGGCCAUUGUCUCUGUCCAUCCUCCUUUUGAAAAGCAGACCAGAGAUAUCGCAUCACAGCUGAUGUCCUGAAUUGUGAAUGAAUUGGAUUUCAGUGAGUAGCAGGUCUGGUGCAAGCCUUCAGUCAGUGCUCUUUCCACUGGGCAGCACCAUCUCUCUUAUCACAUCCUCUUAGAGUAGCAAGAAAGGAAUCGCCUUUCAGAUCUCUGCCUAAGGGAAGAGUUCAUGACCAAACUGGCAAGAGAGAGGGUCAUAAAAGAGAAAAUGGACAAUUUUGAUGACAUAAAACUGAAAAGGUUUUUGCCCAAAUCACAUCACGUCUUCCCUGAGUCGGCUGGGGCUCGGACCCUCGGCCUCCUGGAGGAGCCCAGACUGUCUGGAGCCAGCCUGGGCUAGUUUCCCAUGCCUCUUUUCCAUCUACUAUGGGGGGGGGGAGUCAAGGGAACAGCCUGGAAGGGACACCUGGAGUCCCCACCCCCCCAGAGCCUGGCCAGCGUGUUGGCCCAGGCAUUUAGCUUCCCGAGCAUGUUCGGAAAGGAAAGACAGCCUGGAAAAAUGGCAGGCUUCACAAGGCUGCUCACAUGGCCUUCUUCUAAGCAAUGACGAGCCCAAGGUCCCCGGGAGAGGAGCAAGUGAUGGAUGGAGGGAGGGGCACAGCAGGCCAGCCAGCGCCUGAUUCAAGGUCCAAGAUGUCACGAGGCUGAGAGCGAGUAGGCAGGGCCAACCUGGAAAGGAGAGUUGAGCCCUGGGAGGGCCCCCUUGAGAUCCAGGGAGGGGGGG